UAGUGACAAUGCUUUCGACAACAGUGUUUGGGCCAACCGCCAUUUAAACUUUUCUCUAAAAGUCGGUGGCAAUGUUAAUUGAAAGAGUAAAAAGUUUAUUUGCCAAAAAGGAUGAAAAUGCAUAAGGAGCACGAUAUACACCUCAAAUUGGGAGAUUCAACUGCGAACCACAGAAAUGCUUCAAAAGGAACGUGCAGCCCCUUCGAAACAUGCGAAAAAUAACUGAUGAGAGAGCAGCAUAUCCUCUGGACAUGGACAAAGCGUCUGCAUCAUACAAAAAUCGUUUGAAAGCUUUUUUUAAUUUUACCUACCAAAUACUUGUGGAGAAAAUGAAAAAAAAACAUUGAAAUUGAGACA